rnacentral:misc_RNA from 1 species
AAAGCCCUUCUCGCGUGCCCGCGUCAGGAAGUCGGUGACAUAGGCGUCGAGCCAGGCAUCGUCGCCGCCCGCCGACCACAGGCCGAACGAACCGUUGGAGCCUUGCCGCGCGAGCAAUCGAUCGAUCGCANNNNNNNNNNAUGCGCUGAUCGACGCCGGUAUCCAGCGCAAGAUGGUUCUCCGCCGCCAGAUCGUUGACAUAAAGCAGCGGCAUCGCGCGGCUGGUGAUCUGCUCGGAGCAUCCGAACGGAUAACGGUCCAGCGCUUUCAGGAUCGUGGCGGCAU